rnacentral:rRNA from 1 species
GCCGCGUGUGUGAAGAAGGCCUUCGGGUUGUAAAGCACUUUCAGUCGUGAGGAAGGUGGUAGUGUUAAUAGCACUAUCAUUUGACGUUAGCGACAGAAGAAGCACCGGCUAACUCCGUGCCAGCAGCCGCGGUAAUACGGAGGGUGCGAGCGUUAAUCGGAAUUACUGGGCGUAAAGCGCAUGCAGGUGGUUUGUUAAGUCAGAUGUGAAAGCCCGGGGCUCAACCUCGGAAUUGCAUUUGAAACUGGCAGACUAGAGUACUGUAGAGGGGGGUAGAAUUUCAGGUGUAGCGGUGAAAUGCGUAGAGAUCUGAAGGAAUACCGGUGGCGAAGGCGGCCCCCUGGACAGAUACUGACACUCAGAUGCGAAAGCGUGGGGAGCAAACAGGAUUAGAUACCCUGGUAGUCCACGCCGUAAACGAUGUCUACUUGGAGGUUGUGGCCUUGAGCCGUGGCUUUCGGAGCUAACGCGUUAAGUAGACCGCCUGGGGAGUACGGUCGCAAGAUUAAAACUCAAAUGAAUUGACGGGGGCCCGCACAAGCGGUGGAGCAUGUGGUUUAAUUCGAUGCAACGCGAAGAACCUUACCUACUCUUGACAUCCAGAGAACUUUCCAGAGAUGGAUUGGUGCCUUCGGGAACUCUGAGACAGGUGCUGCAUGGCUGUCGUCAGCUCGUGUUGUGAAAUGUUGGGUUAAGUCCCGCAACGAGCGCAACCCUUAUCCUUGUUUGCCAGCGAGUAAUGUCGGGAACUCCAGGGAGACUGCCGGUGAUAAACCGGAGGAAGGUGGGGACGACGUCAAGUCAUCAUGGCCCUUACGAGUAGGGCUACACACGUGCUACAAUGGCGCAUACAGAGGGCGGCCAACUUGCGAAAGUGAGCGAAUCCCAAAAAGUGCGUCGUAGUCCGGAUUGGAGUCUGCAACUCGACUCCAUGAAGUCGGAAUCGCUAGUAAUCGUGGAUCAGAAUGCCACGGUGAAUACGUUCCCGGGCCUUGUACACACCGCCCGUCACACCAUGGGAGUGGGCUGCAAAAGAAGUAGGUAGUUUAACCUUCGGGGGGACGCUUACCACUUUGUGGUUCAUGACUGGGGUGAAGUCGUAACAAGGUAGCGCUAGGGGAACCUGGCGCUGGAUCACCUCCUUAAACGAUGAU